UCACCAUAAAAGUACAUACAUUUUUUUUGCUCAUUAGAUUAAAAAUAACAAGUUCAAAAAGCAGAAAAGUUCUCAUAACUCAGUCAUUUGAAGAAUAAUAUGGAUAUCCUGUGUGGCAUGAUGGAAGUCCUUGUCGCCAUGUCCUGGAAUGUCCUUCCAAAUGUUGAGAAAUGUCCUGCAUCCUUGGAGGAACCCAACUUUUUUUAAGCCAAUCGAUAAAGAUCAUCAAGGACAUCCUAGGAAACCAUGUCCUAACGUUCUGUAGUAGGAUUUUCGGAUUCUAAAGCUAACAAAAGAAAUUAUGAAUUUUUUCUGGAGGCCAUAUCUGCACAGGAAGUUUAUUGAUUUCGACAAGACAUCCUUUUCUGGAUCCUUUAGAACUAUUGAUCUGGAUUCAACGAUUUUCAAUAUUGCUCCAAAAAUAUUGCCGCAAUUUUUGUACGGCAAUUUUGUUGGCCUGGUGUUUUAUAGUUUCUACAGUUCAAAAAUUCGCCGUAAAGAGUAGAAUUUUCGUCAUCCGUUAAAUUUAAAAAAUCACCUGCUCCAUAAAUUCCAAAAUUCAAAUGUCCAGAAUUACUCCUGGUCGAGGAGGAUUCAAAAAGGCGGCCAUCGAAGUCAGUUAAUGUCCUGCAUAGAUAUGAGAUUAAGAAAUCUCGUGGGAAAUCUCAGGACCUGGAGAUCUCAGUCGGAUAUACAAGGACGUCCGUUCAGUUAUAUAUAAGAAGUCAGUGUUUAUAAUUUUUAUUAAUUUUAUAAUUAAGCUAAGACACAGUUGUGUUAUUACAA